CAGCCGCCACGGUAAUACGGAGGGUGCAAGCGUUAAUCGGAAUUACUGGGCGUAAAGCGCACGCAGGCGGUUUGUUAAGUCAGAUGUGAAAUCCCCGAGCUUAACUUGGGAACUGCAUUUGAAGCUGGCAAGCUAGAGUCUUGUAGAGGGGGGUAGAAUUCCAGGUGUAGCGGUGAAAUGCGUAGAGAUCUGGAGGAAUACCGGUGGCGAAGGCGGCCCCCUGGACGAAGACUGACGCUCAGGUACGAAAGCGUGGGGAGCAAACAGGAUUAGAUACCCGUGUAGUCCCUGUCUCUUAUCC
rnacentral:rRNA from 1 species